CUUCCAAAUCGACGAUCGGCUCCG
rnacentral:miRNA from 1 species